rnacentral:rRNA from 1 species
AUUGAACGCUGGCGGCAGGCCUAACACAUGCAAGUCGAGCGAGCGGCGGACGGGUGAGUAAUGGCUGGGAAACUGCCUGAUGGCGGGGGAUAACUACUGGAAACGGUAGCUAAUACCGCAUAACAUCAGAUGUGCCCAGAUGGUAGUAGCUAGUCGGUGGGGUAACGGCUCACCUAGGCGACGAUGCCUAGCUGGUCUGCGAGGAUGACCCGCCACACUGGAACGUAGACACGGUCCAGACGCCUACGGGAGGCAGCAGGGGGGAAUAUUUCACAAUGGGCGCAAGUCUGAUGCAGCCAUGCCGCGUGUGGGAAGAAGGCCUUCGGGUUGUAAAGCACUUUCAGCGGUGAGGCGUUACCCACAGAAGAAGCACCGGCUAACGCCGUGCCAGCAGCCGCGGUAAUUC